rnacentral:rRNA from 1 species
GAUGAACGCUGGCGGCGUGCCUAAUACAUGCAAGUCGAGCGAACGGACGAGAAGCUUGCUUCUCUGAUAUUAGCGGCGGACGGGUGAGUAACACGUGGAUAACCUACCUAUAAGACUGGGAUAACUUCGGGAAACCGUAGCUAAUACCGGAUAAUAUUUUGAACCGCAUGGUUCAAAAGUGAAAGACGGUCUUGCUGUCACUUAUAGAUGGAUCCGCGCUGCAUUAGCUAGUUGGUAAGGUAACGGCUUACCAAGGCAACGAUGCAUAGCCGACCUGAGAGGGUGAUCGGCCACACUGGAACUGGGACACGGUCCAGACUCCUACGGGAGGCAGCAGUAGGGAAUCUUCCGCAAUGGGCGAAAGCCUGACGGAGCAACGCCGCGUGAGUGAUGAAGGUCUUCGGAUCGUAAAACUCUGUUAUUAGGGAAGAACAUAUGUGUAAGUAACUGUGCACAUCUUGACGGUACCUAAUCAGAAAGCCACGGCUAACUACGUG